rnacentral:rRNA from 1 species
CUAAUACAUGCAAGUCGAACGCGUCUUGGUUAAAGAUUUUAGGUGCUUGCAUUUAAAUGAUUUAACAUUGAGACGAGUGGCGAACUGGUGAGUAACACGUGGGUAACCUGCCCUUGAAGUAGGGGAUAACACUUGGAAACAGGUGCUAAUACCGUAUAACAACUCAAACCACAUGGUUUGAGUUUGAAAGAUGGCUUCGGCUGUCACUUUAGGAUGGACCCGCGGCGUAUUAGCUUGUUGGUGAGGUAACGGCUCACCAAGGCAAUGAUACGUAGCCGACCUGAGAGGGUAAUCGGCCACAUUGGGACUGAGACACGGCCCAAACUCCUACGGGAGGCAGCAGUAGGGAAUCUUCCACAAUGGACGAAAGUCUGAUGGAGCAACGCCGCGUGAGUGAUGAAGGGUUUCGGCUCGUAAAACUCUGUUGUUGGAGAAGAACAGGUGUGAGAGUAACUGUUCACAUCUUGACGGUAUCCAACCAGAAAGCCACGGCUAACUACGUGCCAGCAGCCGCGGUAAUACGUAGGUGGCAAGCGUUGUCCGGAUUUAUUGGGCGUAAAGCGAGCGCAGGCGGUUUUUUAGGUCUGAUGUGAAAGCCUUCGGCUUAACCGGAGAAGUGCAUCGGAAACCGGGAGACUUGAGUGCAGAAGAGGACAGUGGAACUCCAUGUGUAGCGGUGAAAUGCGUAGAUAUAUGGAAGAACACCAGUGGCGAAGGCGGCUGUCUGGUCUGUAACUGACGCUGA